rfam:Oryza rufipogon genomic scaffold, chr02
AAUAAGUGCAGUUUUGUAUUAUUCAUAUCUAACAUUAGACCAUUUGUCUUAUUUAAAUUUUUUUUAUAAUUAGCAUUUUUAUUGUUAUUAGAUGAUAAAAUAUGAAUAAUACUUUAUGUGUGACUAUUUUUUAAAAAAAAUAUAUAUUUUUUUCAAAUAAGAUAUACGGCCAAACAUUGGACACGGAUAUCCACGACUACACUUAUU